rnacentral:tRNA from 1 species
CCGGAAGGUGCGGCUGGAUCACCUCCUUUCUAGGGAGAUCCGAGUCUCGACUCUUGGUGGGGUCGAGGCGUUGAUGGCUCCUAGGGUUGAUCGCACGAUCGCUCGAGCGUCCCCGCCAGGUGGAGCUCGCCGGCGCCGGUCCGCAAGGAUCGAACGUCGGAGAUCGAUACGCGACCUGGAAAGAACACCGAACCCAUUCGACCAUCCUUUGUUCGGUAUUUCCUGUCACUCUUCAAGGGUCAAGGUGCAGCCGUCCGCGGCGACGACCGUGUCGUCAACGUCAGGCACGGCACACACCGCGGAGGGCGAUUAGCUCAGCUGGUUAGAGCGCUGCCCUGAUAAGGCAGAGGUCUCUGGUUCGAGUCCAGAAUCGCCCACCAUUCCCCACCUGGCGCGGGGACGUAGCUCAGCUGGCAGAGCAUCUCCUUUGCAAGGAGAGGGUCAGGAGUUCGAGUCUCCUCGUCUCCACCAUCACCCGAGCCCCGGCGCCACAUCGCACAUUCUGAAGAGAUCGGGUCCCAUCCCCGAAGUUCCCAUCCCCCCAGUCCACGACCCCGGGACCAUGUCCCGGAUACCGAACCCCUGAUCCGUGUUCUUCCGCCGUGCGCGGCAGACCACCGACCAGCGGAUCGCUGGACGACGGCUCGACUUCGGUCUGGCCGGCGCGAGACUCGUCCCUCUGGGCGGGUCGCACCUUGACAACUGGAUAGUUUCGGCAGAUUGAAUGAAUCUUCGAUUUCGCCGAGUCGUAAGAACGAAAUGAUCCCGAUCCGAUCCCAAUCAGCGACUGGCCGCCUGGUCAGAGGCUGGAGGGGGUCAAGCUACAAAGGGCACGG